GAUGAACGCUGGCGGCGUGCUUAACACAUGCAAGUCGAACGAUGAAGCCCAGCCUGCUGGGCGGAUUAGUGGCGAACGGGUGAGUAACACGUGAGUAACCUGCCCUUGACUCUGGGAUAAGCCCGGGAAACUGGGUCUAAUACCGGAUAGGAGCGCCUGUCGCAUGACGGGUGCUGGAAAGAUUUUUCGGUCAUGGAUGGACUCGCGGCCUAUCAGCUUGUUGGUGAGGUAACGGCUCACCAAGGCGACGACGGGUAGCCGGCCUGAGAGGGUGACCGGCCACACUGGGACUGAGACACGGCCCAGACUCCUACGGGAGGCAGCAGUGGGGAAUAUUGCACAAUGGGCGGAAGCCUGAUGCAGCGACGCCGCGUGAGGGAUGACGGCCUUCGGGUUGUAAACCUCUUUCAGUAGGGAAGAAGCGAAAGUGACGU
rnacentral:rRNA from 1 species